UAACAGCAAAAGGAACCCAAACCUACACUGGCAAUACUGGCAUCCUUGCCUCUCAUACACUUUCAUCCUUCCCUCCCCCAACAGCUACCAUGGGGACAUGACACAUCAUUCAGUGACUCCUGUGACAAUAGUGUUGCAAAUCAAACUGAGACAUGACAUCACACCAGAGGUGGUGACAUGAGACAAGCUCAUGACACAGCUAGCUGACUGAAGAGCAGCACAUGGUUGCUGUAGCAGAAUAUUGCUUUGUCUAACAAGACUGUUGAUGGACUAUGCAGCAAGUUUACCCAGGGGUUUCCCAGUUGGCUAGAUCUUCUCUCCACUUUGCUUCCAACCUAAUAGAUCGCUUGAAGGAUACGAUGGGCCUUGUUAUCAGAAACCUGCAAGGGAAGGUGGUGGCCUUACCAGAGGCAAUCCAGAUCCUUCAGGAGCACAAUGUAAGAAGACAAAAUCACAAGGCAUUAUGGGAAAAGAAUGAGGAUAUGAUCAAGGCCUUCCAGGAGAGAAACAAGGCCUUUUGGGAAAAGAACAUGAUCCUCUGGACAAAGAGUAUGAAUCUCUGGGAAAAUGUCAAGACCAUAUUAAUGGAGGAGCUGGAGCUCUGGGAAGAGGACCUAGACCAAUGGAAAAAUGAGCUGGGGCUUUGGAAGAAGGAAUUGGACCUCUGGGAGGAGGAACUGGGAUUCCUUGCAGAGUAAGAAUGGCCACAGGGAGGAGGAAAGAGCCAGUGUAAACUAGUAUAUUGCCCCA